rnacentral:rRNA from 1 species
AGAGUUUGAUUCUGGCUCAGGACGAACGCUGGCGGCGUGCCUAAUACAUGCAAGUCGAGCGAGCUGAACCAGCAGAUUCACUUCGGUGAUGACGCUGGGAACGCGAGCGGCGGAUGGGUGAGUAACACGUGGGUAACCUGCCCUAAAGUCUGGGAUACCACUUGGAAACAGGUGCUAAUACCGGAUAACAACAAUAGCUGCAUGGCUAUUGCUUAAAAGGCGGCGAAAGCUGUCGCUAAAGGAUGGACCCGCGGUGCAUUAGCUAGUUGGUAAGGUAAUGGCUUACCAAGGCGACGAUGCAUAGCCGAGUUGAGAGACUGAUCGGCCACAUUGGGACUGAGACACGGCCCAAACUCCUACGGGAGGCAGCAGUAGGGAAUCUUCCACAAUGGGCGAAAGCCUGAUGGAGCAACGCCGCGUGAGUGAAGAAGGUUUUCGGAUCGUAAAGCUCUGUUGUUGGUG